rnacentral:misc_RNA from 1 species
AAAGUCGUAACAAGGUAUCCGUUGGUGAACCAGCGGAUGGAUCAUUACCGAUAAAAAGUACGCCAACUUUGGUGUGGUUGACUGGAAGUUAACCUCUGGUUUGGCUGAUUAAUCAGCCUGCCAGUGCUCAUAGUGUGAGUCGCACGCUUGAUGAGUGAAGGGAUUGUUGGAAUGGGCAAUACUUUGUCCAGGCGAGAUGCCUCCUCAAUACCUGAGACUGCCAUUGACUUCACUGAAGCUAUUGUCUUAAAAGAUGACAACUGCUGGCCGUGGAUCACUUGGCUGAC